GCCCAGGUGGUGGAAUUGGUAGACACACUAGCUUGAGGGGCUAGCGGAAGUUCUUCUGUACGAGUUCGAAUCUCGUCCUGGGCA
rnacentral:tRNA from 1 species